GUUGGUCGUGAGGCUGACGAAAGUUGAGCAGGCUGAGCUAGGCUUU
rnacentral:rRNA from 1 species